rnacentral:rRNA from 1 species
ACGAGACACGGCCCAGACUCCUACGGGAGGCAGCAGUAGGGAAUCUUCCGCAAUGGACGAAAGUCUGACGGAGCAACGCCGCGUGAGUGAUGAAGGUUUUCGGAUCGUAAAGCUCUGUUGUUAGGGAAGAACAAGUACCGUUCGAAUAGGGCGGUACCUUGACGGUACCUAACCAGAAAGCCACGGCUAACUACGUGCCAGCAGCCGCGGUAAUACGUAGGUGGCAAGCGUUGUCCGGAAUUAUUGGGCGUAAAGGGCUCGCAGGCGGUUUCUUAAGUCUGAUGUGAAAGCCCCCGGCUCAACCGGGGAGGGUCAUUGGAAACUGGGGAACUUGAGUGCAGAAAGGAGAGUGGAAUUCCACGUGUAGCGGUGAAAUGCGUAGAGAUGUGGAGGAACACCAGUGGCGAAGGCGACUCUCUGGUCUGUAACUGACGCUGAGGAGCGAAAGCGUGGGGAGCGAACAGGAUUAGAUACCCUGGUAGUCCACGCCGUAAACGAUGAGUGCUAAGUGUUAGGGGGUUUCCGCCCCUUAGUGCUGCAGCUAACGCAUUAAGCACUCCGCCUGGGGAGUACGGUCGCAAGACUGAAACUCAAAGGAAUUGACGGGGGCCCGCACAAGCGGUGGAGCAUGUGGUUUAAUUCGAAGCAACGCAAGAACCUUACCAGGUCUUGACAUCCUCUGACAAUCCUAGAGAUAGGACGUCCCCUUCGGGGGCAGAGUGACAGGUGGUGCAUGGUUGUCGUCAGCUCGUGUCGUGAGAUGUUGGGUUAAGUCCCGCAACGAGCGCAACCCUUGAUCUUAGUUGCCAGCAUUCAGUUGGGCACUCUAAGGUGACUGCCGGUGACAAACCGGAGGAAGGUGGGGAUGACGUCAAAUCAUCAUGCCCCUUAUGACCUGGGCUACACACG